rnacentral:rRNA from 1 species
AUUGAACGCUGGCGGCAUGCUUUACACAUGCAAGUCGAACGGUAACAGGCCGCAAGGUGCUGACGAGUGGCGAACGGGUGAGUAAUGCAUCGGAACGUGCCCAGUCGUGGGGGAUAACGCAGCGAAAGCUGCGCUAAUACCGCAUACGAUCUGUGGAUGAAAGCGGGGGACCUUCGGGCCUCGCGCGAUUGGAGCGGCCGAUGUCAGAUUAGGUAGUUGGUGGGGUAAAGGCUCACCAAGCCGACGAUCUGUAGCUGGUCUGAGAGGACGACCAGCCACACUGGGACUGAGACACGGCCCAGACUCCUACGGGAGGCAGCAGUGGGGAAUUUUGGACAAUGGGGGCAACCCUGAUCCAGCAAUGCCGCGUGCAGGAAGAAGGCCUUCGGGUUGUAAACUGCUUUUUGUACGGAACGAAAAGGCUCUGGUUAAUACCUGGGGCUCAUGACGGUACCGUAAGAAUAAGCACCGGCUAACUACGUGCCAGCAGCCGCGGUAAUACGUAGGGUGCGAGCGUUAAUCGGAAUUACUGGGCGUAAAGCGUGCGCAGGCGGUGCUGUAAGACAGGCGUGAAAUCCCCGGGCUUAACCUGGGAAUGGCGCUUGUGACUGCAGUGCUGGAGUGUGGCAGAGGGGAUGGAAUUCCGCGUGUAGCAGUGAAAUGCGUAGAUAUGCGGAGGAACACCGAUGGCGAAGGCAAUCCCCUGGGCCUGCACUGACGCUCAUGCACGAAAAGCGUGGGGGAGCAAACAGGAUUAGAUACCCUGGUAG